GGUUGACCUCGGAUCAGGUAGGGAUACCCGCUGAACUUAAGCAUAUCAAUAAGCGGAGGAAAAGAAACCAACAGGGAUUGCCUCAGUAACGGCGAGUGAAGCGGCAACAGCUCAAAUUUGAAAUCUGGCUCCUUUGGGGGUCCGAGUUGUAAUUUGUAGAGGAUGCUUCGGGUAAGGCGGUGGUCUAAUUUGCUUGGAACAGCGAGUCAUAGAGGGUGAGAAUCCCGUCUAGGAUCGCCAGCCGCGCCCAUGUGAAGCUCCUUCGACGAGUCGAGUUGUUUGGGAAUGCAGCUCUAAAUGGGUGGUAAAUUUCAUCUAAAGCUAAAUAUUGGCCAGAGACCGAUAGCGCACAAGUAGAGUGAUCGAAAGAUGAAAAGCACUUUGAAAAGAGAGUUAAACAGUAUGUGAAAUUGUUGAAAGGGAAGCGCUUGCAACCAGACUUGCGUGUAACGGUUCCCCCGGCCUUCUGGCCGGGUUACUCCGUUAUCUCCAGGCCAGCAUCGGUUUGGGUGGUCGGUAAAAGACCCCGGGAAUGUAUCUACCUUCGGGUCGACUUAUAGCCCGGGGUGUAAUGCGGCCCAUCCAGACCGAGGAACGCGCUUCGGCUCGGAUGCUGGCGUAAUGGUUGUAAGCGGCCCGUCUUGAAACACGGACCAAGGAGUCUAACAUCUAUGCGAGUGUUUGGGUGUCAAACCCCUACGCGUAAUGAAAGUGAACGGAGGUAAGAACCCCGCAAGGGGCGCAUUAUCGACCGAUCCUGAUGUCUUCGGAUGGAUUUGAGUAAGAGCAUAGCUGUUGGGACCCGAAAGAUGGUGAACUAUGCCUGAAUAGGGUGAAGCCAGAGGAAACUCUGGUGGAGGCUCGCAGCGGUUCUGACGUGCAAAUCGAUCGUCAAAUUUGGGCAUAGGGGCGAAAGACUAAUCGAACCAUUGUUAAGCGGGCCUGAAGGUGGCUACCGGGUGGUUCCACACAAAGUCCUUUGGGGCUACAUCGUCCUUCUGGCGGGGAAUUCAAACCCGCAGCAGUUUCGGCUGUCCACAGACUAGGAGACGCUGGUCAUCUCAAUCGUGAGGUGGUGAUGAUAUAGUCGGUCGUGGUUACAU
rnacentral:rRNA from 1 species